GGGUGUGUAGCUCAGUGGUAGAGCGGCUGACUGCAGAUCAGCAGGUCCUCGGUUCAAAUCCGGCCCCUCGUAGUCG
rnacentral:tRNA from 1 species